rnacentral:lncRNA from 1 species
CACAAUGCCUAUGUCAUUUGCCUCACUUCAUCUCAUCAUGUAGACAUUUUAUCAUCUCACAUCAUCACAAGAAGAAAGGCAUGAUAUUAUAAUUUUGAAAGAGAGUCAGAGAGAAAGAGGGGGUCCACAUUCACAUAACUUUUAUUACACUUCUCCAUUGGACUCUUGAGGGGCCAAAUGCUUCCGUGAGGAGAGACCCUCCGUGAGGAGAGACCCACAGUGAGGAGCAAGGUC